CUUGCCCGUGAGCUAUCUGUGAGAGGAGGAGUCUUACUGCUGCAAUUCCGCCAAGCCUACGUCGCCAACACACGCGCUGAUACAGUCAUCCGACAUUAUCGACAUAUGUGUGUGGAGGGAAGAUCGCGGGUGAGGUUUUACUCGCAUUCAUUUGUGACGGGGAAAUGGUCCUUGGCAGCAACAGAUUUGGAGAUAAUAUACAAAACAGUCCUUGGAGUAAGGAGUAUGAACAUAGCUGAAUGAGAGCUGCCAGCAUGAAGAUUUCUGUUUAGCAAGAUAGUUGUGGACAAGCAGUUCGUGGAGCCUUCCCCAAGGCAAAAUGCGAGCAGCUUGUUUAAAUAUUAUUUUGACACUGUAUGCUUCCAAAUUAAUGUACAAAAUUAUAAGAACAUUUGCCAUAAGGACAAAGAUUAUGUAAAUUACAGCGCACAUGGCAAAAGGCAUAUGUUACUGUAACAUAACAUGCACUUCACACAGGGGCCUUAGGCUAACUCUAAAAUAAAUCUUGAAGAUAGA